rnacentral:lncRNA from 1 species
CUCGGGGAGAGUUGUGGGGGGAGGGGCCGGCGCUCCCCACCGCCCUUCGUUCCCUCCAGGGCUGCCCCAACGCCACCGGGGAGGCCUGGCCGAGCCCGAAACCGCCGCGUACCUCAGGGAGGGCCGCUGCCGUCGCUGCCGGGGCCUCGCGCUGGCUGCGUCUCGCGCUCGGGCUCCCGCCUCCCCUCAGCCGGGCCCGGCCCCCCCACAGCCUCCGCCCGCCCCGCGCACCGAGAUCUCGCGAGACCUGAGGGGAGGAGACUCCGCCCUGGGCACCAAUGGCGGAGCGUGGUAGGCGGGGCUUCGCUGUAGAGGGCGGGGCUUGCGUAUGGGCGGUGCUCUUGGCCACGCCCCCGCCCGCGGGGCUGCUCUGCCCGCAGCGGCGACAGCGACACGGAGAUGUCGCGACAGAGCACCGCAGAGCACUGGGAGGACUGGGCCACGCUGGGCUCUGCAGGAAGGGUUGAGGAGGUGCAGCAGGACACCCCUGGGGGAACCGGGGACGUGGCCGUGACAGCCCCAACCAGUGAGAGGCUGAGCCCAGGCCAUGUCCCCAGGGCUGCCGCACAGCCGGUGCUGCUCAGUGGGACGUCCCUGGGGGGGCACACACGGGGCUGACUCAACAUGGACCGACGCCCUGCGGGCUCCUGGCUGUGCCCAGCAGGAUCACUGGUGCCUCCAUCCUCACGGGGACACAGCUGAGAGCCCAGGGGACAGGAGGACUCAGCACCUGGUGUCCUCUCUGGGGACACUGUCACCCACCGGGCACCCAGUGGGGCUGUGCUGUGUCCCCAGGCCAGCCAAGUGACAAGGUCUGGGGCCGCCAAGGAGGCACGAGGACACAGGGCCAUUAUCCAACCGUGUUUAUUCCCCCCAUCAGUUGGGGAGAGGGUAAGGAGCAGGGCUCGCCCUGCCCCACGCCGGACAUUCACAGCUGUGCCCGGGGCGCAGGCACUGUCACCGUCACCGCGUCACUGCCACUGGCUCUGUCACAUGGCAAAGAGGAUGAGGAAGGCCACCAUGAGGCAGAAGAGCCCCAUGGCCUCAGAGAGGGCGAAGCCCAGGAUGGCAUAGGAGAAGAGCUGCUGCUUCAGUGAGGGGUUCCUGGCGUAGCCGAUGAUGAGGCUGCCGAAGACGGUGCCAAUGCCGGCCCCAGAGCCGGCCACCCCCACAGUGGCUGCACCAGCACCGAUGAAUUUGGCAGCAGUGUCGAUGUCCCUGCGGGCCACGCUCGUCACGAUGGUCCUACGGGCACUCGGGUGCACCUGCUCCAUCCGUGCAUUGGAUAUGCUGAGCAGGGAGGCUGAGAGAGGCUGGCACAGCACCCGCGGGCUCCUCCACACCAGCGCAGGAACAGUGACGAACUUUGUACAGGCGUACAUGGUGAGGGAAGAGGGACACACGUGUGGGACACAGCUGGCGCACCGGCAGCGGGCAAACCGCGGGGGCUCCGAGUGCGCAGGCGCGCC